GUCUGGAGCACAAACUGAACCUCCUAGAUUUGCUAAAACAAUAAUCAACAGCAAGGUACACCGAAAGGACAUCACGAAAAUAAAGACGAAUCCUUUCAUUAUGUGGAAACAAAUAGAGUGCCCUCGUCAACCUCUAGGCUCCAAGGAUAGUGGAUAUUAUGUAUGCCGCUACAUGAUCGAGACAAUAGAGUCGAGACAUAUGAUCAUUCCU